rnacentral:rRNA from 1 species
GACGAACGCUGGCGGCGUGCUUAACACAUGCAAGUCGAACGGAAAGGCCCUGUUCUUGCUGGGUGCUCGAGUGGCGAACGGGUGUGUAAUACGUGAGUAACCUGCCCAUGACUUUGGGAUAACUUCAGGAAACUGCUGCUAAUACCGGAUAGGUGCUCCUGCUGCCUGGUGGUGGUUGGAAAGUUAAGGCUGUAGGGGAUGGACUCGCGGCUUAUUAGUUUGUUGGUGGGGUAGUGGCUUACCAAUGCUUUGACGGGUAGCCGGCGUGGGAGGGGGGCCGGGCACAAUGGUGCUAAGGUACGGCGCAGUGGACAACUGGGGGCAGUCGAGGAGAGUAUUAUCCAGUGGGCUGGAGUCUGAUGCGGAAGCGCCACGUACGGGAUGACGGCCUGCGAGUUGUGAACCGUUUUCGCCUGUUACGAAGUGUGACUGACGGUAAUGGGUGAAUAAGCACCGGCUAACUACGUG